GAGGGUUGAUAGGUUAAGAGCUAAUUGACUGGACGUUACCCACAGAAGAAGCACCGGCUAACUCCGUGCCAGCAGCCGCGGUAAUACGGAGGGUGCGAGCGUUAAUCGGAAUUACUGGGCGUGAAGGGUGCGUAGGUGGUUAAUUAAGUUAUCUGUGAAAUUCCUGGGCUCAACCUGGGGUGGUCAGAUAAUACUGGUUGACUUGAGUAUGGUAGAGGGUAGUGGAAUUUCCGGUGUAGCGGUGAAAUGCGUAGAGAUCGGAAAGAACACCGGUGGCGAAGGCGGCUACCUGGACUAAUACUGACACUGAGGCACGAAAGCGUGGGGAGCAAACAGGAUUAGAUACCCUGGUAGUCCACGCUGUAAACGAUGUCAACUAGCUGUUGGUUAUAUGAAUAUAAUGAGUGGCGCAGCAAACGCGAUAAGUUGACCA
rnacentral:rRNA from 1 species